AUUGAACGCUGGCGGCAGGCCUAACACAUGCAAGUCGAGCGGAUGACGGGAGCUUGCUCCUCGAUUCAGCGGCGGACGGGUGAGUAAUACCUAGGAAUCUGCCUGAUAGUGGGAGACAACGUUUCGAAAGGAACGCUAAUACCGCAUACGUCCUACGGGAGAAAGCAGGGGACCUUCGGGCCUUGCGCUAUCAGAUGAGCCUAGGUCGGAUUAACUAGUUGGUGAGGUAAUGGCUCACCAAGGCGACGAUCCGUAACUGGUCUGAGAGGAUGAUCAGUCACACUGGAACUGAGACACGGUCCAGACUCCUACGGGAGGCAGCAGUGGGGAAUAUUGGACAAUGGGCGAAAGCCUGAUCCAGCCAUGCCGCGUGUGUGAAGAAGGUCUUCGGAUUGUAAAGCACUUUAAGUUGGGAGGAAGGGCAGUAAGCUAAUACCUUGCUGUUUUGACGUUACCGACAGAAUAAGCACCGGCUAACUCUGUGCCAGCAGCCGCCGUAAAAC
rnacentral:rRNA from 1 species